rnacentral:lncRNA from 1 species
AUAUCGGGGGUGCACUGGCACAGAGGAAAGGCCAUGUGAAGCAAGAAGGCAGCCAUCUGCAAGCCAAGGAGAGAAAUUUCAGAAGGAACCAACCCUACCGACAUCUUGAUCUUGGACUUUAAGCUGCCAGACCUUUUAUACAUUUUCUACAGAAAAUGCACCCCAUCAUUGCUUAUAGCCCACCCACGUGGACUGCUCAUUCUGUGAAUCAUGUUUUACAGAAAUUGCCUUGAUGUUAGGAAUUAAAAAAACAAAACAAAACAAAAAACAUGGAGCCGUAUUCUCCAGAAGCUUACAUCUGAUUUAACGAGACAGCAAUAGGAAGCCAAAGGGUCCCUGCAGAGGAGGGUUGCAGCACGAUAACUCUACAGCUGGACAGAGACAGAUUGCAGGGGAGCAAGAAUGAAUGGCAGGCCAGCUGCCAGAAGCUUCUCACUCCGUGGAGACCUUGGAGUCGAGGAUGAAAUGUCUUACAACUGUGGGGAGACCUUGGCUUUUCCAAAGCCUACCAGGGUCCAGGACUUGGAAGCUAAGGCCCAGAGAGGAGGAGAAACUUGAUCAAAGUCAAUCAGACAAUGCAGAAUCGAGAAAAGUACCUGGACCUCUAUGCCCAUGCUUCUAGCAGCCAGCCUCCUAAAAUACCUCUAGUUGAAGCCAAAGUUAGAAUCCUUCUACGAAACUACAGGAUUAAAAUGGAAUGGUUACAUGACCCAGGCUUGACCAAUCAGAUCAUCCAAACCCUUUGCCACAGUGAUUGGUCCAGGGAUACAUGCAUGAGCCAGCUCAGGCUGGACUUUGGCUUGGGAUAAAAGGUAUUAAAAAAAAAAAAAAAAGAAAGAAAGAAAGGAAGAAAUCAUGCGUAAGCAUGCAAAGAGGAACACAGCCAAGGGAAUGGAAUGCAGUGCCUGACCUGGAGCUCUCUGGCUUCUUUCAGUGAGAAGUGCCAUCCUUCUCUUCAGUUACAACUCCCUUCUGACAUGUGACUUAUUGCUUUUAUACAGAAUAGAUUGUCAUAAGUGGUGGAUUGGACAGGACUUGCUUUGGCUUAGGAGACAUAUUAUAUCCAUGCAAAAAAAAUUUUCACUGAACUAUGGAUCCCUUAAUUGCUUUAGCUAUAGAAUGAGCA